rnacentral:piRNA from 1 species
UGGCUGUCUCAACUCAACUACUCUGGUUUAU